rnacentral:misc_RNA from 1 species
GAUGAAGAACGUAGCGAAAUGCGAUAAGUAAUGUGAAUUGCAGAAUUCAGUGAAUCAUCGAAUCUUUGAACGCACAUUGCGCCCGCCAGUAUUCUGGCGGGCAUGCCUGUUCGAGCGUCAUUUCAACCAUCAAGCCCCCGGCCUGUGUUGGGGACCUGCGGCUGCCGCAGGCCCUGAAAACCAGUGGCGGGCUCGCUAGUCACUCCGAGCGUAGUAAUACAUCUCGCUCAGGGCGUGCUGCGGGUUCCGGCCGUUAAAAGCCUUAUUUUACCCAAGGUUGACCUCGGAUCAGGUAGGAAGACCCGCUGAACUUAAGCAUAUCAAUAAGCGGAGGA